GAGAAACUCCAUUACACAUGGUUGUUAAGAAUGGAUGUUAACAAAGGGUAAAUACGAUAUUAUAACAAUUAGACGCAGUAGCUGGAGUCACAAUACGCUGUCGUCUGGUGGUUGUUUUAGGGGAGGCGAUUGAGAAGAUAACAGAGCGUUUAGGAGAUGGUGUGGGUCAUGUUUGGGAAGCCCGAUACCGAUAAAGAUGGUUCAUCAGUCUGUUGAUCCAAGAUACGUUGCCAUUUGAUGCUCAGCUCGAGCAUGAUGUAUUUCAUGAUGGCCGAAAAAUUAUGAACAAUUUGGUAGAGUUUAAAGCAACCAAUGACCAUUUGAAGCAAUUGAAGCAAUUAGAGACAAUAUAUCACAUUGCAUGUUGGAAAACAUGAAGCUAAGCUAGCACUGAAAGCCAACAAUGUAGCUUAUUAUGGUGAUUUGUGUCAGUUUAAAAGCUUAAUUUGAGUUGGAACUGAUCCAAACAAGAAAGAUGAUGAUGAAAGGACA